UUUGUUCUGGGUCAAUGCUUGAUGCUAAUCCAAGCCUGGUCAAGCUUUGAAAAUAGACAGGAUACCGCUUUAUCGCCCUUUAACAAAAUUGCUCUUUUAAAUUUUAUUUCAUAUAGUGUCAGUUAUCUGUUUACCAGGAAUGCUCAGCCACUUUGCUUUAUUUACUGCCCACGCGCCUGUCGGUGUUUGUGGACAGAAAGCCCGGUCGGAAUUCCUAAUUCUCUUUUGAUGUGUAUAAAUGACAAGCGCUCUUAACUGUCGUGACAUCCUAAGGUAAAGUUAACUUCGGAGUGCGGGAGCUUGCGAAGAAGGCAGAUUCCGACAGGCGCGCUGUUGCACAGAUGUUACUUGUAACUAAUCCACCUACUUUCGCAGGUAGAAUUGCAAAGCGCAGGUAAUGCAUUAAAUAUUUCUUAGGCUCGUCCGCCUGAAUUUCGGCUGUGCUCCACUACAAAAUGCAAUUCUGACAUUCUAACGCACGAGUAUAGUCAAAUGCCUUCAUGAUUUUACGCCUGUUUUCCGUUUGGACGCAGCCCUGAAAUGAACAUAAAACGGAAAUUGAAAGCGCUGCUUCCUUGGAUGGUUUUAUUCUGCCAGUUUAUUCUUUUUCAAGGAGGAGGUUUAAUGUGCUUCGACAGAAACCGGAUCUCUUCAGAGGAGAGGUAUACCUAAGAGAAAAGUGCAUGGGGGUGGCAAGGUGCGCCCGAAUACGAAGACGUUUACUCCCCUGGUGUCCGAAUCUGCCCUUCCGAGAAGCGUCUUUCACAACUACACCGCCCGGGACGUGUCUGCAGAGAACUGUGACUGCCUUAAUGGCGGCUGGUGCAGGGAGGGGGGAGACUGUGACUGCUCCCAGUUUCAGGGCAUGGGAGAGCGCUGUCAGAUCAGAUUGUAUAUUUAUUCCAUAUUGUGGCAUCAUGAGAGGGCGUGUCAUUGAUGGGAGGUACGUCCCCUCAAAAUGGCUGCAACGCACUACAAAACAGAUGGCUGCCGCACAAGAAGACUACAACAACCGGGUCGCCGCCGACUAAAGCCGGCUGCGGCUAAUCGACUUGGUGGCGGGUUUAUUUAACGAGGCCUUCUCUGAAGGGAGGGGGUUAGACGUGAAGUGAUUGUGUGCUUGUCUAAGUGAAGCUUUGUAAACUAUUACUUUGGUGGUUGUGAAACGUUCUGUUACCUUUUUUAAGACUGCAUUGUUAAAACUUUUUGGUUGAUUAUUAAAAAGCCCACCACAUUUCGGAAAACUGCAUGGACCUGCUUUUGUUUGAGCGCCCCCACACGCUGAUGAAGAUUCCCAGCCUCUCAUGAUGCCACUAUUUAACCACAAAUAUUCAGUGACUAGCAUUUUCAUUGUUAUAUCAUUGUUAUAUUUAGGCUAUUGUUAGCUUUAUCUUGUUGCUUUGAUGGUAUAUGAAUUUUAGGUAGUGAAAAAAUAUUUUUUUCACUCCCAGAUAGAUGCUAUUGUCCAGUGUGUCAUGCCUGGGGAGUAUUGUUGCAGAUGAGACUGCAGGGAGGAGGUGCUUAUGAAAUGGACAAUUGUGGCACUUAGAAACUCCGUAUUUUGCAUCAGUGUCUUGUAUUGUAUCCUAAAGGCUGAAAUCCUGAAUUAUGGGGUUUUCACUCAUUGUUUGGUUGCAGGAGCACUAAAUGUCUGAGGUAAGCAAUCUCUGGAUGUGAUAGUGUUCAAAUCUGUUCGAUUUAGUUUAUACAUCACUGGUGAUGGGCCCAUUUGAGUGGCUGAGUGUGUGUUCAUUGGCCACCACUGAGGCUUAAGGAUGUGAUCUGAAACCCAGCUGUGAGCUGCCUGAGGCGCCUGCAAUCCCAGAGAUGGCAUUAGUCUUUCCCCCAGGAUACCAGGGUACUGCAUAUGCAUAUGGCUGUCCGUGAGUGACUUUUACUGCAUUGAAGAUUCUGAUAUUUUGAUAAGUGCAAAAGCAAUAGACAAUUAUUAGUUAGCAAUUUAAGUGUAAGAAAAUGGUAGUUUAAAAUACGAAAAGAUCUGCACCUGAGGGCGAGGCGGGAUUUGACUGUCCAACCUUGCACUUUGCAGUCAUUUAUUAAGAAGACAGGUCAGUAAGCACAGCUGAGCUCCGGUUGUAUCCAUAUGGCCUGGCGAUAUUGUAGGAGGUUAACUGAACGUGUAGAUGGUAUGUCAUAAUGCAGUGUAUACGUUCAGUGAACGGCGGGUAGAUGUGGUGCAAAAGCAAGAGUUGAGAAAUAAAAGACAAUUAUUAGUGAGCAAAUGAGCAUGUAUAAGAAAUUCCGUUCGGGGGGGGCUUGAACUUGCAACUCAACAAUCCGCAGACUGGUUUUGGCGAAGAAUUGGCUGGUGUAGGUAAAAUGACCAAUGGAGAGACAUAUUCUUUGUGGGCUAGGAGGUAGGAAAAAGGAGACGUGGACAUGUGAAGUUGUUAAUGAAUUAUGUCUGUU